UCAGCCUUACAGUUUCAUAAAGUCUUGUGGUCUGUUGCUGCUUUCUUCAGUUAUUUUUCACAUCAUAAGCAUAUUGUAUGGGGCUCCAGUUUUAAUAUCUGUGGAGGAAACAUACACAUUUUCGAUUCUGAUGUCUGUGCUAGUUAUCCUGCCAUUGUGUCUUUUCUGUGGUCCUGUCUUUGAGAGCUGGUACGAUAUAUUUACAUCCAGUUCCUACCUAGGCAUUGAGACAGUUGUGUAUUAUACCAGCAUUAUGUCUAUUCUUGGCUCCUGGGCUGGGGCAGCAGCUAUUCCUCUUGACUGGGACAGACCCUGGCAGGCUUGGCCAAUAAGUUGUGCUGUUGGUGCUAUCUUUGGUUACUGUUUGGGUCUUCUCUUUGGAGCCGUUCAACUACCGAGAGAACUUUUAAAUAACAAAUGGAAAGUAAUUUGAAACUGUCAAAAUUAAUUUAGAAGAGAUGUUCUCACAAUGCAACUGAUUUUAUAUUGAUGUUUUUUUACAUGAGACCAAUGUUAGAUUUUAUAUUAACUUGAUGCCUGUAUAAAAUGAUGUAUUACACUAGUGAUGUAUUUAGUAUGUUAUAUUAACAUGAUUCACAUAUAUUGCUUUUUCAGUGUAAAUAAAAUUGUUAUCACAAUAUAUAACCAUGUAUUACCCAUAGAUGACAUGUUUUCUUUUUUUUGUUUUUUUUUUUAUGAAUCUAAAACAAGUAACAAUGCAUUUACAAAAUAAAAUUAUCGAUUUUGUUUUUAAAUUUUAAUAUUGGUUAAACCUAGCUUACUAAAAGAACAUUCUGAACUGAUUACAGUAAGAGUUUCAAAAUC
rnacentral:sRNA from 1 species